UACGUAGGGGGCAAGCGUUGUCCGGAAUCAUUGGGCGUAAAGCGCGUGUAGGCGGUUCGAUAAGUCUGCUGUGAAAGUCCAGGGCUCAACCCUGGGAUGCCGGUGGAUACUGUCGAGCUAGAGUACGGAAGAGGCGAGUGGAAUUCCCGGUGUAGCGGUGAAAUGCAUUGAGAUCGGAAAGAACACCAACGGCGAAAGCACUCUGCUGGGCCGACACUGACACUGAGAGACGAAAGCUAGGGGAGCGAAUGGG
rnacentral:rRNA from 1 species